rnacentral:lncRNA from 1 species
GGCAGAAAUAAGAGGGAGACCCAGAGAAAUGGCGGCCUUAGAGACAACAGCUCAGGAACUGGCUCUGGAGACUCUGAAGAAGAGAAACCACAGAGGCAGGUUGGCCAGUGUCAGACCCUGAACUCAACGAUGCUUGCAAAUCCCAGACAGACGCUCAGCCUACCUCCCAGGGGAUGACGAAGCCAGAUGCGCGGCCAGCAUUUUUCCAGUAGUUGAGGGCGAGUUCCUUCGCCGGUAGUGAAAUAUCUUGGACUUGGGGGUCCCAAGAGCUUCUCGGAUGUGGACUCCGAGCUCUGCUCUCCUGCCUCUCCCCUCCCUUAGAAGUUGGUCCUGCGGCUUCAACCCAGACGACGCCGAACAGCUGUGUACUAGACAGACUCAGCUUCCUGCGGUUCCAGCUAGGUCCCUCUACAGUAGUCAGAGCCUCGCUCCAUCCAGGCUCAACGCUCCUCCUCUUCCACCCUCAGCACCUCCUCCCCUCUCAGGCUCGUCCCCCAUCCCCCGCCUCCUGGCCCCUGUCAGACCCCGCCCUCUAGGCUCAGCAACCCUCCAAGGCAGGCCCCGCCCUACCCAGGCAACCGCACUCGGCCGUCGCAGGCAGGCCCUGCACCUCCCGGGCAUGCUUCACCCCUCCCGGACUUAGCACACCGUCCACUCCCAGGCAGGUCUGGUCGCACCCAGGUUUAGCACGGUGUUCCUACAGUCACUCCCCACCCUCCUCCGUGCCUGGUGGGUCUUCCACCUGCAGGGUGUGUGUGUGUAGGGGUUCUGGAUCAGAGCCAGGUGAAGCGCACAGACACCAGCGGGAGGCUGGCAAAUCCACUGGGCUGGCUGUGAUAUUCUUACCGGUACCAGGGGCGUGGCCAACAGGGACCAAUCCUACAACUGUCAUCCCCCAUUCAGGUACAAAUUUAUGCUCAUACUAAAAUAAUCUUGACUUGAUAUUUGCUCGGGCUCCUUUUGGGGCCCCAGGGAGAAAACCUACUACGUUUCUGCUUAAUCAGCAUAACAAUAAACCGACUCCUACUGACGCACUGCUUGCUGUCCCGUACAUCAGCCCAUCGCUCAGCCCUCCUCAGAGACGCUUCUAACAGUAGAUGGGAAAUUAACAGAGACCCACAGCUCUUUGAGAGACUUAGGGGCACUCAGCUCUAAAUGGGAGACGUUUCUCAUACCCUCAAGGCUCAGGGAUCUAUUCCAGAGAGUGGGCAGGGAGGCUGGAAGAGCCAGAAGUGGCAAAUGGAUCCAGAGGAAACUGAAGUUUCCCGACUCCCGACAAGAAGAUGCACAUAUGAACUCACAGAGACUGUCAAAUGCAUAAGACCCGCACAAGCUCAAGCCAGACAAAAAUCCCAGUGUGUGGAAGGUAAAGUGGACAUAAACUCCCACCCCUCACCAAGAGGCUAUUUGCAACUGAUACUGGCAGGCAAGGGGACAUCAGCCUUCUUCAAUGGAGUGACAUCAGGUGUAUCAAACACACUCAAGAGCCUCGAGCUCAGAAAGAGUUGGCCAUCACAAAUCUGACUCCAAGGUCUUGUUCUUUUUGAAACAGGACAGCUCUGUGUAGUGCUAGCUUUCCUGGAACUCUGGCUCUGCCUCCCAAAUGCUGAGGUUAAAAGCGUGUACCGCUGCCUGGCUUGCUUCUUUUGAAAGAGCGUCAAGUUUGGUGGGUAGGGAGGGGGAGAAGUGGAGAGGUUCUGGGAGGGGAAAGAAUAUAAUCAAAGUAUGUUGUUUACAAUAGCCAGGGCUGUGGUAGACAUGUGCUUAUCAGUCAUGUGGGAUGCCUUAUUCACUAAGAAGCACACACACAGAAUUGAAAACACUUAAAUAAAUGAGCAAUAUUUUAAGGAAAAACAAAA